UUGUUUAUAAAUUGGAUAUGAUAUCUUAUAACCCCACAUGUCAUGUAUUUAAUGGAUGGUUCAUAAUUAUUUGUGGCAAAUUUGGUUCAUUUAAAAAAAUUUCUAGUCAAAAAAUAUUUAGGUGGACCUAAUUCGCCAGAUAGAAUUAUGAUCAUCCAUUAAAAAGAUAACACGUCUUUGGAGCGUUAAUUAGAUUGGUAAUGACCCGGCUUCCAUUUUAUUUUCCCAGCUCUUUAAUCUUUCAAAUAAAAUAGGAGCAACCAUUGGGGAUGUUUGGAUGGGCGGACGGCGUUGAAGGCGUCAUUUGAGAGUGGCAGGACUAUGGGAACUGCUCACGUUUUUAGUCUGAAUGUGGCAAAUGGAACUGUUUGACAAUGUGAAGAUUCAGAGGUUCAUCGAGCUGCUGGGUUAGCCGGAAAUAGGUCAAAUUUAACUGAUUGGGUUGAUGGCCAACAUGCGAAUUCAAUGGGUUAAGAUCGGCUCCGGAUUCCAUCUGUUGCUGCUGGCUGGGAGCUACUAUUUGUCCACGAAAUAGAUGCUCGGUGUUAUUCUAUCAACAAGGAAGAUUUUGCGGGUCUUCAUGAACACAAUGAGGAAGAUUUUUAGGUACCUUUUAGGCGGGAGUCUUGGGCUCACCCGAGAGUUAGGUUUUUUGUAUGGCUUGCUUUACACAGUAGGGUCCCUUCACUUGAUUUUUUAGCAAAGCGUUUUAUUGUUAAUGUGAAAAUUUCUUUGUGUUCACUUUGUGAUGUGGUGAAAAUGCAAGAUCAUAUUCAGAUUCAUUGGGAGUAUGCAAGAAGCAUUUAGCAUGAUAUUCUUAAUAA